UCGGUGCGGGGCUGCGCGACGGCGCUGAGGGGGUGUGGCUGCGAGAGGAGCAGGGCAGGAUGAUAGGACCAAGCUGUACUGCAGGAGUCUGUGCUCUGGUGGUUCUUUCAGGGUCAGAAGCCCAGACAGGUGGUACCCUUUUAGCCCUUACGAUCUGAGCGUGCAGCUCGUGCUUGCACUCCAGGCAAAAACCCAACGGACAGCCCCCGGGGUCCUCAGCGACCUAGCCCAGCCGCCCUUGUGGACCUAGAGGGCAUCGAGGCAGGGAGAGGGAUGCGAACUGGCCUGGGGUCUGGGGACCUCUAGGCUGGUCCUUCAUCACAGGGCCGAAUCCCCCGGGGCCGGCUUCCUUCCUGGAAGCCACUGUCGGUGGGGUCCCCAGGAGCGUCUGCAUCAAGGAGGAAAACCCGCUCUCUUUGGGUGUCCUGAUGCCCCUCAGACCCGACAGGACCAGAACAUUCCAACUGCCCCAUCAGACCUGCUCUUCCUCCUCUGUAUGUCGCUAGGGCUGCCCGGACCACUCCAGGCGCCCUGCUUUGCUCCUGCCCUCUAACCAAGCGGUCUGUCCUGGCCUCUGAGAUACCUGGUGAAAACACGUGCUUCUGUCCUGCAUCCCCACUGCUCCCUCCUAAAGUCAGGCCUCAGCAUGUUCUUACAGGACAGGAGCUCUUACCUGGCCUGUGGCCUCCUGUCUGUCCUCCCUCAGAGCAGGCCUCCUCCCUCCUCCAGUUCAGUUCGUAAAGUCCAAUCUGUCCUCACCAGUCCCCUUUUGAAACCUUGGCAAGACUUCUGUUUGAGGCCCAAACCCCUGGUAGUGUUUUUUUUUUUUUGGUAGGGGGAGGGGAUGGAGGGAUCCUUACAGUCUUUCCCCAGGCCCUGCUUGGCCCUGCUGUUCACAGCCUCGGUGGCUGCCUCCUCCUCUCCAGCAAACUCCAGUCCUCCUUCAAGGCCUGACUGUGGCAGCACACUCUGUGCCCCACCCCCCAAAGCAUCAGGCCCUUUUGCCUCCGAGCUCUCCUAGCAUGUUGUUCCUUUCUCGGUUAGCGUCCAUCAUCAUGCAGGCCUGGAGUAGUUCUCUAAGGGCCUGUGGCUGGGGGUCACUGAGCCCCUCGAGGGUGAGGACUGUGUCUCGCUCAGUACUCUUUAAGUCGCGUGCCGGGGAUAGAGUCGUUGUUUAGUAAAUGCUGGCUGCCUCAACAGAGGACCCUUUGUCUUCUUUUCCAGUGAGAGGCACCUGCUCUGUCCUUGGAGCAGCUCGAGGAAACAGGAAGGCUGGGAUGAGCAGCCAAGCAUUUGAACCACUGCACCACCAGGGCUGCCUUUCAGCAUAAGGAAGAAAAUGCUAUUUCCAAAAGGAUCACAUCCACAGGCCUGGAUCUCCUCAACCUGCCAGCAGACUUGAAGUUCUAACCUGAAAACUCCAACCACUAGGCUGCCACCCUGUGUCCGGGGCUGUCUGCACACUGCUUCCUCCAGGGAUGGGAUCCUCCUUACCAGCUGGGCAGGCAGUGAGUGACCCUGUACCAAGACCCCAUCUUCCCUCCUGUGUUCUUGGACCACUCCAGAACUAACUUUCUUGGGCCGAGUGCUCCGGGAAGCCAACCCUGAGAGAGAGUUAGGAGAGCCAAAGGCUUACUGGGAGUAACAUCUGUUAAAGGAAAAGGAAGGGAGCAGGCUUGGGCAGGGUGUGUCUUCUGGCCAAGAUGCCAACGUGACAAAGUCUCUACCAGCCCCCCAGGGAGCAAGGGCCGCCCUGUGUGGGGGCCGCCUUUGGCACGGAUGGUCAGGCCCUCGUAGUACCUGGCCCACAGUACGCUGUCCCAUCUGUAUUAACGGAAUGAAUGACCUUAUACCCAGAAUGAGUGUCCAGAGGAUGUGGGCUGAGCAGUGGAGGUGAAGGCCCCGGCAUCUUCUCUGAGGGCAUUGUUACCUGGGCAUCACCAUGGUCUGUUAUCAUCAGUGAAAACCCAGCCGGAAGGGAGAGAGCACAUCUGAGGACAAGAGCAUCAUCUUGCAAAGUGGACACCUCUGUUUCUCCUGUCAUGUAAGAGGCUCUUCAAAGGUCUGCACUUCAACGAGUCUGGUCUUGAGCUCUUCCUGAUCUUUGCUGCAAGCAUCCAGUGGGGUUCAUGGAGAAAGAGAGUGAAAGAGAGUGCAGACCCUCCCAGUUUCGAAGGCCCCCAGGGGGUUCACCGUUCCCUGCCAUCCCACACUCUCCCUGCAUCAGUUCGUCAGUAGUUCUAACUGAACUCUUCUUACUGGGUUUUGAGUAGAAGCUAGUUUUGAAAUUUCCGAGAACUCUGACUACUGGAGCCCUUCAGACCUCUUAUAGUCACUCACACAUUGGAAUAUGCAGAACUCCUCCAUCUUGCAACUGCUGUUCUCAAAAUGCUCUGUCUUGCUUUGCAACUGCUGCGUGGAGUUCAACCUCUUGGAGACAUUUGCAGUAAAAGAAUUCUAGCAAAAAGAAUUGGCUGACUUGUGAUUGCUAAAAAGUGUUUCAUUUCUAAUCUCUCUGCAGAAAGACACCUGUCACCAGAGAACCAAGUGGACACUGAAACAUACGAUCUUCUUAAAGUCCCCAACACUCAUCCUCCUUCAGAAGAGACUCCUGGGUUCAGAAGCUCCAGCCAGCCCCAAGGCUCCUUCCUUUGCGAGGGCGAUUUUGCUGGGGUGGUGGUUCCACAUCUCCCAGUCGCUGUGGUCGCCAAAUGUUGGGAGAAUGGCUCGGGACAUGUGAUGGGUUCUACUUCUGGCCCAGCGGUCGCAGCUGGCUCGGACUCAGCACAGAGCGGGAAGGGAGCAGGAGUUUGCUGUGAGAAGGGAGAGGAAUCUAAGAGAGUGAAUCCAUCUGGUACCUAUGCUGAAGUGCUCUUGAGGCCACUGUAGUCCACUGGGAAAUAGAGUCUCCAGGGUGAAUUGUCAUUGGGAGGAAUUUGGAGCUGCCGUACAUCAUUGAUACGUGGCUGAGGAGAAGCCAGCAAAAGGAUUACCACCAUUUCCCCAAAAGCUGAUCAUUUUCCAAAUACCUUCCACCUUCCUCACAGCACAUUGUGCUCAUUAAAGAAACACUGUCAUUUAUCUUUUUUUUUUUAAUUUGAUUUACUUUGUUGUUGUUGAGAAUAUACGCAGCAGAACAUACACCAAUUCAACAGUUUCUACACGUACCAUUUAGUGACACUGAUUACAUUCUUUGAGUUGUGCAAGCAUUCUCACCCUCCUUUUCUGAGUUGUUCCUUCCCCAUUAACAUAAAUUCACUGUCCCCUAAGGUUCUUGCCUAAUCUUUCAAGUUACUGUUGAUAGUGUGAUCCCAUAUAGAUAGUUCUUUGCACAUUCUUUGCAAAGACCUGGAGUUAGAAUACCAAAAGGGAAAACCGUUUUUGGUAUUUCUCAAGCUGAAAGAACUGAAGAAAAAAUUCAAGCCUCAAGUUACUAUAUUAAAGGACUCUAUGGGCAAAAUGGAAACCCUGGUGGUGUAGUGGUUCAGAGCUACGGCUGCUAACCAAAAGGUAGGAAGUUCGAAUCCACCAGGCGCUCCUUGGAAACCAUAUGGGGCAGUUCUACUCUGUCCUAUAGGGUCGCUAUGAGUCGGAAUCGACUCAACAGCAAUGGGUAGGUAUGGGUAAAAUGUUGUGUCAUCUGCAUAAGGCAAGUUGUUAAUGAGUCUUCCUCCAAUGCUGAUGCCCCAUUCUUCAUAUAGUCCAGCUUCUUGGAUUAUUUGCUCAGCAUAUACAGAUUGAAUAGGUACGGUGAAAGGAUACAACCCCGCCACACACCUUUCCUGACUUUAAACCACUCAGUAUCCCCUCGGUCUGAGGACUUGAAGCACUUACUGAUGAAGAUCAAAGACCACAGCCUUCAGUAUGGAUUACACCUGAACAUAAAGAAAACACGAAUCCUCACAACUGGACCAAUAAACAACAUCAUGAUAAAUGGAGAAAAGAUUGAAGUUGUCUAGGAUUUCAUUUUACUUGGAUCCACAAUCAGCACCCAUGGAAGCAGCAGUCAAGAAAUCAAAGGACACAUUGCAUUGGAGAAAUCUGCUGCAAAAGGCCUCUUUAAAGUGUUGAAAACAAAGAUGUCACCUCAAGGACUAAGGUGAGCCUGACUGGAGCCAUGGUGUUUUCAGUUGCCUCAUUUGCAUGUGAAAACUCAACAAUGAAUAAGGAAUACUCUUCUCUGAAAGUUUGGUAGAACUCUGCAGUGAAGCCUUCUGGGCCAGGGCUUUUUUUUAUUGGGAGUUUUUUUGAUUACAUUUUCAAUCUCUUCUUUUGUUGUGGGUCUAUUUAGUUGUUCUACCUCUGUUUGUGUUAGUUUAGGUAGGUGGUGUGUGUCUAGGAAUUCAUCUAUUUCUUCUAGGUUUUCAAAUUUGUUUGAGCAUAGUUUUUCAUAGUAAUCUGAUAUGAUUCUUUUAAUUUCAGUUGGGUCUGUUGUAAUAUCGCCCAUCUGAUUUCUUAUUCGGGUUAUUUGCUUCCUCUCCUGUUUUUCUUUUGUCAGUGUGGCCAGUGGUUUACCAAUUUGUUGAGUUUUUCAAAAAACCAGCUUUGGUCUUGUUAAUUCUUUCAGUUGUUUUUCUGUUUUCUAUUUCAUUUAGUUCAGCUCUAAUUUUUAUUAUUUGUUUUCUUCUGGUGCCUGUGGGUUUCUUUUGUUGCUCUCUUUCUAUUUGUUCAAGUUGUAGGGAUAAUUCUUUGAUUUUGGCCCUUUCUUCUUUUUGGAUGUGUGCAUUUAGUGAUUUGAAUUGGCGUAUGAGCGCCGCUUUUGCUGUGUCCCAAAUGUUCUGAUAGGAAGUGUUUUCAUUCUCAUUGGAGUCUCUGAAUUUCUUUAUUCCCUCCUUAAUGUCUUCUAUAAUCCAGUCUUUUUUGAGCAGGGUAUUGUUCAGUUUCCAAGUGUUUGAUUUCUUUUCCUGUUAUUGGUUUCCACUUUUAUGGCCUUAUGGUCAGAGAAGAUGCUUUGUAAUAUUUCAAUGUUUUGGAUUCUGCUACGGCUUGCUUUAUGACCUAAUAUGUUGUCUAUUCUAGAGAAUGUUCCACGUGCACUAGAAAAGAAAGUACACUUGGUUGGUCUUGGGUGGAGUGUUCUGUAUAUGUCUACAAGGUUAGGUUGGUUGAUUGCGGCAUUUAGAUCUUCCGUGUCUUUAUAGAGCUUCUUUCUGGAUGUCCUGUCCUUUACCGAAAGUGGUUUGUUGAAGCCUCCUACUAUUAUUGUGGAGCUGUCUAUUUCAUUUUUCAGUGCUGAUAGAGUUUGUUUUAUGUAUCUUGCAGCCCUGUCAUUGGGUGCGUAAAUAUUUAAUAUGUUUAUAUCUUCUUGGUGUAUUGUCCCUUUAAUCAUUAUAUAGUGUCCUUCCUUAUCCUUUCUGAUGGAUUUAACUUUAAAGUCUAUUUUGUCAGAAAUUAAAAAAGAACUCAUGUUCUUUUUUGAUUGUUGUUUGCUUCAUAUAUUUUUUUCCAACCUUUGAGUUUUAGUUUGUGUUUCUAAGUCUAAGGUGUGUCUCUUGUAGGCAGCAUAUAGAUGGAUCUUGUUUUUUAAUCCAUUCUGCCACUCUCUGUCUCUUUAUUGGUGCAUUUAGUCCAUUUACAUUCAGGGUAAUUAUGGAUAGGUGUGAAUUUAAUGCUAUCAUUUUGAUAUCUUUUUUUGUGUGUUGACAGUUUCUUUUUCCCACUUGAUUUUAUGUGCUGAGUAGAUUUUCUUUAUAUAUUGUCCUUUCGUCCUAUUUGUUGUUGUUGAUUUUGUUUCUGCUGAGUCUGUAUUUUUCCCUUGUAUUUAAUUUUGAUAAGUAGGAUAGUUUGUCUCCUUUGUGGUUACCUUAUUAUUUACCUGUAUUUUUCUGAAUUUAAACCUAACUUUUAUUUCUUUGUAUUGCCGUAUCUUCCUCUCAGUAUGGAAGGUGUGUGAUUACAUUUCUUAGUCCCGUUUUAUUAUUUAAUGUUGUCUUCUUUUAUAUAAUAACAUCGACGUUACCCUGUGUUGGGCUUUUUUUUUUUUUAAUCUUGCUUUGUUUUUUUGCAUUUCCCUGUCUCGGUUGACUUCUGGUUGCUCUGCCCAGUGUUCUAGUCUUGGGUUAAUACCUGAUAUUAUUGAUUUUCUAACCAAAGAACUCCCUUUAGUAUUUCUUGUAGUUUUGGUUUGGUUUUUACGAAUUCCCUCAACUCGUGUUUAUCUGGAAAUGUCUUAAUUUCACCUUCAUAUUUAAGAGACAGUUUUGAUGGAUAUAUGAUUCUUGGCAGGUAAUUUUUUUCCCUCAAUUUUUUAAAUAUGUCAUCCCAUUGCCUUCUUGCCUGCAUGGUUUCUUCCGAGUAGUCUGAGCUUAUUCUUAGUGGCUCUCCUUUGUAGGUGAUGUUUCUUUUAUCCCUCACUGCUCUUUUAAUUAUUUCUUUAUCUUUGUUUUUUUUUUUCCGAAUUCAUACACGUUAGGCCAGUUUAUUUAUUUUUCCAUAUACUCCAAUCAAAAAGCAUAUUGUACCAUCUUAAGACAUGAAGCAGGUAUGAAAAUCUAGCUACUCGGUCAUGCUAGACAUCUAAUAGAUACACAAAAACGUACAGCAAUGAUCCUCUUCACACUAAUCUUUUGUUAUACCAACCCAGAAAAUAUAAAUAUAUUAUAAAAUGUAUUAUUCAUAUUCAUGUUAAUAUGUAAUGUGGCCAUUGCUAUUUUUUUUAUUUUUAUUGAGCUUCAAGUGAACGUUUACAAAUCAAGUCAGUCUGUCACAUAUAAGUUUAUAUACACCUUACUCCAUACUCCCACUUGCUCUCCCCCUAAUCAGUCAGCCCUUCCAAUCUCUCCUUUCGUGACAAUUUUGCCAGCUUCCAACCCUCUCUACCCUCCCAUCCCCCCUCCAGACAGGAGAUGCCAACACAGUCUCAGGUGUCCACCUGAUGCAAGUAGCUCACUCUUCAUCAGCAUCUCUCUCCUACCCACUGUCCAGUAUCUUUGGUUUUGGCAAGCUUGAUUAUAAUAUGUCUUGGGACUUUCUUUUAAGAUCUACCUUAUGUGGAGUUCGAUGAGCAUCUUGGAUAGAUAUCUUCUCAUCUUUCACAAUAUCAGGGAAGUUUUCUGCCAACAAAUCCUCAACAAUUUUCUCUGUAUUUUCUGUCAUCCCUCCCUGUUCUGGUACUCCAAUCACUCAUAGGUUAUUUCUCUUGAUAGAGUCCCACAUGAUUCUUAAGGUUUCUUCAUUUUUUUCUUUUUUCUGAUUUUUCUUCAAAUAUAUUAGUACCAAGUGAUUUAUCUUCGAGUUCAGAAAUUCUAGCUUCUGCUUGCUCAAUUCUGCUCCUCUGACUUGCUAUUGAGUUAUCUAAUUUUGUAAUUUUAUUGUUAAACUUCUGAAUUUGUGAUUGCUGCCUGUCUAUGGAUUUUUCCAGCUUAUUAAACUUUUCAUUAUGUUCCUGAAUAAUCUUUCUGAUUUCUUCAGCUGCUUUAUCUGUGUGUUCCUUGGCUUAUUCUGCAUAUUGUCUCAUUUCCUUCCUGAUGUCUUGAAGGGUCCUGUAUAUUAAACUUUUGUAUUCUGCCUCUGGUAAUUCCAGGAAUGCACUUUUAUCUAGAAGAUCCCUUGAUUCUUUGUUUUGAGAGCCUGUUGAGGUGAUCAUGGCCUGUUUCUUUAUGCAACUUGAUAUUGACUCUUGUCUCCAAGCCCUCAAUAAGUUAUUGUAUUAGUUUGUGCUUGCUUACUGUGUCGUAGCUUCUUGCUUUGUUUUGUUUUGGUAUACCCCUAUGGGUUGCUUGAGUGAGCUAGCUUGAUUAUGUUCACCUUUGGAGCUCUGAUGUCCUGUCCCCAGAUGGCUAGAGCUGUUAUCAGGUAUAUCAGUCUAGGAGUCCGUUCAUUUAUCUUGUAUGAAUUCAGCUCAAGUUCCCACGUAGGGGAUCAUCAAGUGUGUGGUACAGGCUCUGUCCUACAGUCUUAGAGGGGCAGGGGUGAUUAGCGUAUGUACUGAUAUCUGAUUGCAGCAGGGGGUCAUGCUCUGAACAAGGCAGGGGGCUGAGAACUGACUCCCGAGUGUAUCUGAGGAAAACAUGUCCCUCUUCCCUAGAGCGUGCAGGUGCGUGGGUUCUGGAGACGGACCAUGGGCACCCAAAGUUUUUGGUUGUAAGGACUGGGAGGUACCAGUUAUCUUUGGGCCCCUGUCUUGGGUGGCUGGGUGACCUGAGUGGAGCUACCAGUCCUUAGGUCUCUGAUGUGGGUAGGCGAGGACCUUGUUUUAUAGGCAAGGCAAUGUCAAACAUCAAACACCCACCUCUCCAUUGCACCGCUGAAAUGGUUGGAGUCUGCCAACAAGGGCCUAUUCUCCCAAAAAAGGCCCACAAAGGUCCGUGCAGAAAGGAAAGGUGCUCAAAGUCCAUGGACGGUUUAUGCCUGGAGAGGAGCUGCUUCUGUCCUGAGCUCCCUCGGUUAGUGGAGCUAGCAAAUUGUCUUUUCCCCCAAAUGCAAAUUUUUUCCUUCACCAAGGCUGGGAGGAUGGCUCUAGGUGCUCAACAGUGCCUAUCAGGCCCAGGGAAUUCAGUAGCUGAAGCCGGUGCCGGUGGCGGGGCGGGGUAGAAGAUAAGCAAGUACUUAGCUUUUGCCGAGAGCGCCCUUCUCCUCAGGUCUCGGGGGUGUGAGUGGGCUGUGUGGCUGGCUGCUUCUCCCUGAGGAAACUGGCCAAACGCUAGUACCAGCCUGCCCCCGCCACCGCCGUUGCUCCAGGAAUGGUGCCUGAGGGCUCCCCGCGUUUCAGGUCCGGUAACUCCUGUCCACUUCUGAAGGGUGUCUUCCUCCCCCUGCCCCUCAGUUCAUUGUCUAAGCUUCCCUUUGAUGCUCAGGGCUCCCAGCUUGUCACAAAUAUACUCAUUUCACUUGUUUUUUCGGGUCUUUGUUGUAAAGAGGGCCCGCUGGAAGCGUCUGUUCUGCUGUCUUGGCUCCGCCUCCUUGGUAAAGUCUUUUGAUGAACGUAAGUUUUUAAUUUUUAUGAGGUCUCAUUUGUUUAUUUUGUCUUCUGCUGUUUGUGCUUUUGUUAUUACAGUAGAUAAUCCAUUCUUAAAAGCUAGGCCAGACAGCAUUGCCCCUGCUUUUUCUUCGAAGAAUUUUAUGGUUUUAGUUUGCACGUUUAGGUCCUUAAUCCAUUCUGAAUUUGUUUUUUGUGUACCGUCUGAAGUGUGGGUCAUGUUUCAUUUCCCUGCAUGUGCCAAUCCACUUUUCCCAACACCGCUUAUUGAAGAGACUGUUCUUUCCCCAUUGAAUGGACUUAAACCUAUUGCCAUCGGGUUGAUUACCACUCAUAGCGACCUUGAUGGCCUAGUGGUUAAGAGGUUGGCUGCUAACCAAAAGGUGGGCAGUUUGAAUCUACCAACUGCUCUAUGGAAACCCUAUGGGGCAGUUCUACUCUGUCCUAUAGGGUUGCUAUGAGUGUAAUAGAAUAGACUUUUUGCUGUCUUAUAAAAAAAAUGAAUUGACCAUAGAUGUGUGAGUUUAUUUCUGGACUCUCAAUUCUUUAUCGUUGGUCUGUGUGUCUAUUGUAUACCAGUACCAGGCUGUUUUGAUUACUGUAGCUGUAUAUAAAAAAAAAAAAAAUUGUAUAGCAUGUUUUAAAAUCAGGAAGUGUGAGUCCUCUUACUUUGUUCUUCUCUUUCAACAUUGCUUUAGCUGUUUGGGGCCCUUUUCCAUCCCAUAUAAAGUUGAGGAUUGGUUUUUCCAUAACUCUAAAGAAAGCUGUUGGAGUUUUGAUGGGGAUUGUGUUGAAUCUUUAGAUUGCUUUGGGUGGUAUUGACAUCUUAACAAUAUUAAGUCUUCCAAUCCAUGAACAUGGAACAUCUUUCCAUUUAUUUAUGUCUUUAAUCUCUUUCAGCAGUGUUUUAUAGUUUUCAUUGUGGAAGUCCUUCACAUCCCUGGUUAGAUUUAUUCCUAGGCAUUUUAUUCUCUUAGAUGCUUUUGUAAAUGGAAUUGUUUCCCUAAUUUCCCUUUUGGAUUUUUCCUUGGUGGUUAUUAGAAACCCAACUGAUUUUUGUUUUUGACCUCGUACCCUACAACUUCGCUAAAUUCCUCUAUUAACUGUCAUGUACCUUUUUAAAAAUAAUUUUCUCCUUUGUGUUUUCUUAAUAUUCACUGUGUCCAUGUUCCUCUUUGGAGCAUAAGUGCGUGUUUCUUUCUUUAUUAGUAGGAUUUGUCCUUGUCUUCCUGGCGAUUGAACUUGAGUUGCUACUGCUUCACUAAAUUGGCAGCUGGGUUGAAAUCAAGGUCUUCAGGAAGCCCCCCAAAUCAACCCAAACCCACUGCCAUCAAGUUGAUUCCAACUCAAAGCGAUCCCAUAGGGUUUCCAAGGCCGUAAAUCUCUACAGAAGCAGGCUGCCACGUCUUUCUCCCACAGAGCUGCUGGUGGUUUUGAACCCUGACUUUUUGGUUAGCAGUCAAGUGCCUUAAGCACUGCGUCACCAGGGCUCCUUUUGGGAAGGCCAGACAAACCUACUUACACAAAUCAUUGUUGGCUGCUGUCAACUUGCUUCCCUCCCUCCCACACUUACUUUUCCACCCCUACCUCCUACCUACUUGAAUAUAGGAUUGGAGGUGUCAUUUUUAUUUUGAAACUCUAGGCUUUGGGGUAAAAAUAGUGUAUAAAGGUAUGCAUCAGCAGACUUUUUGGUGAUCUUGAAGGCGCAUUUCAUUCACACAGCAACCAGCUAUUCAUCAGAUGAAUUGUUAGAGCAUCCACCAUACCAAAAAAAAAAAAAAACCAACUCCAUUGCCAUUGGGUUGAUUCUGACUCACGGUGACCCCAUGUGUUUCAGAGUGGAACUGCACUCCCUAGGGUUUUCAAGGCUUGAUCUUUUUCAGAAACAGAUUGCCAGGCCUUUCUUCUGAGGCAUCUCUGAACGGGUUCAAACUGCCAACCUUUCAGUUAAUAGUCAAGUCCUUAACUCUUCGUGCCACCCAGGACUUGUGGAUUUUCCACAGCGUAUCUAAUUUUACAUUUUGUAGUGGUAUCAGUUGUGCUUAAGCCCUUGAGCCAAUUCAUAGGGGAGAAAUGUAGCAUUUCUGCCCUGUGGAUGUGGUAAGUGUUGGCAUUUGGUCUUUUAGUUGACUCUCGGACCACCCUUCCAUGGAACUUCCCGACUUUUGUGUUGAGAAGAGAGAGCAUGUUUUGUUUCCUCAUAUUGUGCGUGGGUUUUGGCACAAUGAGUGUCACAGCCCCACUAAUUAAGAACAGUUGGCUGUGCUUUCCUGCCACAGCUCUGAUUUCUCAAUGCCCAGGUGAGAAAUAGUAUCCUGUCUAGAGCAGAGAACCCCUGGUAGUGUAGUGGUUAAGUGCCACGGAUGCUAACCAAAGGGUCGGCAGUUCAAAUCUGCCAGGUGCUCCUUGGAAACUCUAUGGGGCAAUUCUACUCUGACCUACAGGGUCACUAUGAGUCAGAAUCAACUCGAUGGCAACGGGUUUUGUUUUUUUUGGUUUUUUUUUUUUGUUUUUUAUCUAGAGCAGAGCCAUUUGUUCCGAACCCGGAACACCCAGAAGGUCCAGAAUCCUACACUGCACUUUUGUUUUAGAGCUGGAAGUCUUCCAUACGCUCCUCAAGCUUUCUGGCCACAUUGGAGGAGUAUUUUGAGAGGUGGCUUUUCUCUUUCUCUUUGUUUUUAAAGCUCGUGUCUGACAUCAUCUGCUUAGUUCCUUGCCUCUUUUUUGGGGUGGUGUGCUCUUUAGCUCCUAUGUGGUGUAUAUAAGCCUUGACAUUGGUCAUUUGAGGCAGUGAACGCGUAGCUCGAGUGAGAAAUAAACCUUCGUUGUGUUUAGCCAAUUUUUUUUUGUUGUUGUUAUUGUGGUAGUGGUGCUGGUAAGACAUAUAUAUAACAAAACAUUUGCCAUUUCAACAUUUUUACAUGUCUGAUUCAGUGUCAUUAUGUUUACCGUAUUGUUCUACUACCGUUACCCACUAUCCGUUUCCAAUUUGUUUCGUCCCUCCAAUGAAAAAGCUCAGUGUCCCUUAAGCACUAACUGCCCCUUCCCCCAUUCCAGCAGCCCCUGGUAGCCACUAAUAGCGCUUUUGUCUCAAUGCAUUUGCUUAGUCUAGAUAGCUCAUAUAAGUGGGAUCAUACAAUAUUGGUCCUUUUGUAUCUGAAUUAUUUCACUCGACCUAAUGUUUUUCUUUUUUUUAAUGUUUUUGAGGUUAAUCCGCGUCAUAGCAUCUAUCAUCGCUGCAUUUCUCUUUAUGGCUGAGCAAUAUUCUUUUUAUUGUUGGGAUGGACCCCUGUUUGUUUAUCCAUUCAUCUGUUGAUGACACGUUGUUUCCACCUUUUUAGCCAAUGGGGUUUUCAGGUUAAUUUGGUAGCUAAUAUGCCUGCCAGGCCACAAUUGAAGGCAUCCCAAGUGGUAUAGGACAUUGUCUUCCUUGCAGGGUUGUAUGGAUCAGACUUCCUGGAUUCAAUUCCCAGCCCUGUUAUUUAUGAACUUGUGUGACGUUGGCUAAGUUGCUUAACCUUUUUGUGCCUCAGUUUUCUCAUCGGUUUUCCUCCCUCCUAGGGUCAGUGUGAGUAUUAAGGAAAUUAACAGACAGGGAACACUUUGGACAGGGCCUGGCAGGCAGUAAGUGCUGUGCAGUGCUUGGUGUCAGAGACCAUGGAUUUCAGAGUGUCCAGUACAGCGUCUGGUUCUCAUCAACAACCGUAACUGUUCUCUUUAUUGCUGUUGUAAGUAUUAGAAUGAUUCGUGUAAAGUGCUUGGCAUGCAGUGGGCACUAAUACACAGUCACUGGUACUUGGUGAUUGUGCUUUUGUGCUUACAUCCGUUAGCUCCCUUAAAUGACAUAGGCAUUGCCCUCCAAGACUUUCUUUGUAACAUGUGUGAAUUUCAAAGGACAUUUCUGAAUACAAAGAAAGAAGAACACAUUGAACCAGCAGCAAAGCCUUAAUUAAGAAGGGAAGGUUCUAAGCACAAGUGGUGCUUUCCAUAAGUUUGCAGGCAAAGUGGCCCACAGAGAAGCCACACUCAUGAGAAUCCAAUAUUGGAUAAUGAAGAGUUGACUGUAUUUUGUGUUUAUAGCCAUAGAUGCUGUCCAUACUCUUCAUUUUGCAGAUAAGAAACUUGAGUCCAGAGAGGGGAAGGGGCUGGGCUAGGAUAACAUGGCCAGCCAAUAGGACAACCAGGACUAGAGGCCAGCUUUCUUGACUCCAAGUUCAGGGUCUUGCUACCUUAUCGUUUCUGUGAAACUAUACAGCAUUAUCUUCGAGUACAUGAAUAAGAAGACCAUUGGUGUUGCUUCUCAAAAUUCUCAAAAACUUAGCCGAACCUCAAAGACACGUGUUUUGAGGAGGAGCCAGAGGAAUCCAGAUGAGCAGUGGAAAGUAGAAAAAUAUCAGCUUUGGUCUUUUAACCUUUGUGCUAUUUUAAAAUUACGUCUGAGCAACUGGAGCCCUGGACUUGAUGAGAAAAGUAAAGCAACUCUGCUUUUUGGCUUGUUCACUGCCCAGCUUUUCAUUCAUUCUGUUGGUGCUGCUCGGCUUGUGCCUUUGGAUAUAUCAGAAGUGGCCUGAUUUUCUCUUUCUUUGCUGUCUCUUCAUUGGCUACGGGAUCGUCCUGUCCAUUCUGGAUUUUGGACGGAGUUCCCAGAAUCACCACGUAUCCUCCUUCUGAGCCAACUAGAUGGAGGCACAAACGCCGGAGGCCUGCCGGUAGCUUUCCUUUGUCAGAGCUUUCUUGGACACAAACACAGGAGGGGAGUUUCUGUGAAGCAGCUGGUCUCCCCUUUUGGAGUUUGCUGAGGCAGGUAGUUGAACUCUUUGAGGAAGCCUGGGUUUUCUCUGUCUAGGGAAAUCACUGAUAACAUCAGAGCCAGAAAGAGGUGAAUAGAGAGGAAAAGAAAAUUCCUAGGAGUCAGGCCAGGAUUCAGAUUUCCAGCCCCACCAAUUUUCCCCCCAGCUCUACCCUUCAACUGCUACUUGCUUACCAGGAAGCGGAAAACAAUAGGAAAGCUGAAUGAAUUUAGGUCUAGGUUUCAGGCAAUUAAAGGUGAGGUAAGUACAAGCUAGUUACACACAGUAUCAAAGUCCACGCCUCUGCAUUAGAGGGCGUACUCUGGGUGUGUACUUCGCCAGGUGGGUCUGGUUCUGAAGCCAAACUAGGAAGCCCGUUCAUUUUGGUAAUUCUUGCUCGAAGACUGCAGCUGGACCUUUUUGAGUCAGUCACUUCCAGGAAAGUGCAAAGGCCUUAUAGUGAAGAGGAAAAGGAGGGUAUUAAUUGCAGCUGGACUGGGUCCAUAUCAUGUUAUGGAUUGAAUCGUGUCCACCCAAAAUAUGUGUUGUAAAUCCUAAACCCUAUACCUGUGGUUAUAAUCCCAUGUGGGAAUGGGUUUUCUUGUUAUGUUAAUGAGGCAUUAUUAGCAUAGGGUGUGUUUUGAGUCAAUCUCUUUUGAGAUAUAAAAGGAGCAGGUUAAGCAAGCAGAGAAGGAGGGAAGACAGAUACCAAGCCACAUGAACAUUUCCGAGGAAGAGACAAGGACCUUCCCCCAGAGCCAACAGAGAGAGAAAGCCUUGCCCUAGAGCCGGCACCCUGAUUUCAGACUUCUAGCCUCCUAAACUGUGAGAAAAUACAAUUCUGUUUGUUAAAGCCACUCACUUGAAGUAUUUCUGUUAUAGCAGCACUGGAUAGCUUAGACAUAUCAUGAGAGCUGGAAAAAAAACAGAUCUUGGAGAAAACAAACAGCCAUUGGACGGCUGGAUAUUAUGGUAGGGAAUAGGAAUAAAGACUCAAUUGUUCCUUUCUGACCUUCAAGAAGAAUGGAAGUUAAGUGCCCACCCUGCUUAGCUUCCCAGAGUAGGUACUGGAUUAUUAAAAGAGUCCAGUCAUUUGUCUGAAGUUCUCUCUUAAUGUAUGACAACCGCCACUUGUAAGUCAUCUUUAUCUUUCUCUGAUAGAUAGCACUCAUUCUUUUAGUCAACAAAUAUGUCAGACAUGGUACCAACACCAUGGAUGUAAUGGUGAUUAAGGCAGUGUUCCACUUAUUUAUUGCUGUGCCACAAAUGAUCCCCCAAAUUUAGUGGCUCAACACGACAAAUAUUUUACUAUAUCCAUAUCCUACAAUUCAGGAAUUCAGGCAGGGUUCAGCUGGGUGAUUCUUCUGCCCAUGUGGCCUCGAAAGCAAUCACUCAGGGAUAUUUGGCUGGUGGAUGGGCUGGUGUAGAGGACCCACCCCAGCUUCCCUCACAUGUCUGAUGCCUUGACGGGGAUGGCUGGAAGACUGGGCUUAGCUGGGACUGGCCACUGUGUGUUGACACAUGGCCUCACAGCGUGGUGGGCUCAGGGUGGAUGGACUUCUUACUUGGUAGCUCUGGGAUUCCAGAAAUCAUUUCAAGAAGAUCUGGUAGCAACUAUAAGAAUUUUUAUAACCUAGUCUCUGAGGUCCCGGAAUGUCACUUCCACCACAUGCUAUUGGUCAAGCAAGUCACCAAGGGCCAUCCCAGAUUCAAGAGAAGGGCAAUUAGAUUCCACCUCUCAAUGAAAGGAGUAGCAAUGACUUGGCAGACAACUUAAUAUAUCACAGACAGACAGAUCCCUUGUCCUCGAGAAGCUUAUAUGCUGAUGGAGGAGACAGACAAUAACAGAUUUAACAAAUAAAACAACUACUGGUUGUAAAACGUGCUAUGAAGAAAAUAAACAGGGUGCUGUGGUAAAGAAUAACAGGUUGGGGCACUCUGUUAGACAAGGUGGCCAGAUAUCAAAACCAAAACUACCUCACCCAUGUGGAGCGGAACCCGACUUGUCAACAGAUAAUCCAGGGGCCCAGGCCAUCUUGAAGAAGUGAUUAGGAAGCCCACUGAGUAGGAGAGUGUCACAGUUGCAGAGGGUUGGAGUUGUUCCUUGCGCUCUCCCAGAAGGUUCUCGUGAUUCCACCCACAUUCUCUAUCACACCAGAAAAUACCCAACUCUGCUGGCACACUCACACACCCAGGGUACAGCGCACUGCUGCCUCCAUCACUCUGGGUAAAAUCCUAUUGUUUGAGCUGAGAGGUUGCUAAGUGAUGACUAAUUAUUUAGCCUAGUUCAGUCAGUGUUUUGGCAUUGCUUUUCCAUCUGCCGGGACUAUUUUCUGUCUUCUUCAUUUGUUAACUCCUACUCUUUCUUUAGAAUUCAGCUUGAAGAGCCCCUUCUUCCCGGAAACCUUUCUUGACCAUCCCCAUCCUAAUGGGAUUUAGAUGCUUUCUUCUGGACUCCCUUAGUCACCCUCCACCCCUGGCUUAUCUCCUUCAUUACUAUCCUUAUAUUUUAUUGUAAUCCUUGGUGCACUUGGCUUUCCAACUGCCCUUCACCAUAACUGAAUUGUUAAUGCAAUAGACAUGUACAGAUGUGGAUGUUGGCUAUCUACCAAGUCCUCUCUGAAGGAACUACAGAUACUGAGGUGAUUCAGACCGACACAGUCACUCUUGACAUCUAUGGACCUCCAAGUCUGGUGGCAAAGGUAGAUAUUGAAAGAAUUAUUACGAAUGCACUGAAUGUUCCAAAAAUUACUUGAAUCCAAUCACAUGGGUUGUGAUAGGGACUGGGUCACUUCCCCUGUUGUUGCCAUGGUGUUUGACACAUAACAGCACCUCAGUAAAAGUUUAUAAGUGGGUGAGUGAAUGUCGACGAUCUAUAUGUUGAAAAUGUGGACGAAGGUAUGUCAGCAGAAUGUCAUUUCUCUUCUUGCUAGAGCUCCCUUUAUAUUUUUCCAGGCUGGGCCAUGAUACCUCGCCUUAAGGAACAGUGGGGACAGGGCCAGAAUUGGGCCCAGUCCCCCCACACCUGCUGCCUAACCAGAGCUGGUUUGCCUUGGUUCAUCCUCAUGUCAGCCUGAUGGCUGAGGGUAAGAGGUGGUGCUGAUCACAUCAAGGUUUGUUCUUCUCCCCUCUGAAUUGCUGACUUCAGCUGUCAUGACUGUUGAAGCAUGAACCUCAGUUUCCUGCUGCCUGUGGCCUAUCCUUUGGAAUAAAUGAUGGCAGCCUUUGAUUGAGGCCCUUGUGGGCUAGACCUGUCCUGGGCAGGCAAACCUUGCCCUCUAUCACCUUCUGGAAGACCUAGUUGGCAGCUACACUGAUCCUUCCUGGAUGAUUCUCCCUCCACUAUUGGCUUUCCCUGCGCAGAAUAUGAUUUCUAGAUCCCAGGUUCUUAGAGCAAAAAAGGCAUAGGCUUUGGAAUCAGACAUAAUUGCCUUUGAAGAGAUUCUUCUACUUGCUAGCCUUAAUUCCCUCCUCUAUAAAAGGGGAAUACUGAUCCUAGCCUUGUGGGGUUAUUCUUAAAUGCAGUGCCUGUCGUGUAAUUGCUGAGACAAUGGCAGCCCCCGCCAUGUUCCAUCAUGGUGUAUUGACUUUUGUGUUUAAAGGAGAUGUCAUUGAUGCGUUUCCCUCCAGUACAUCCUCUUUUUUGCAGAUUGUUUUCCUAUUUGGGGAUAGUGGUGUGUUUCCAGUGCUGUCCUUGGCCACACCAUUACGAAAGGUUCUGGCCUCUGGUCACAUGGGUGCCUGGCUCCCUUACCUGGAGCACCUGGGCCCUGUGGCCUCCAGCACAAUGGUGCCACUUUAGCCACAAUCCUGCCUUCUCCUUUAGAUCCUGGCCUUGGGCCAGGCUGGAAGGAAAACAUAAGGGAGCAUGGCAGUGUUUCAGAGAGGAGGCCUUAAGUAGAAGCCAUAACUAUGUUGCCCUGGGGAGUGGUAUGAGGACAGUUUCCUCCAAGUCCCUCCAGGCCUCACCUCCAUUUACCACCCUCAGUCUUGGCUCUUUGAACUAAGAAGUUAGAGCUGUAUAUUUGGAUGUCCUAUGGCAUGGUAAUAUCUCCUUCUUUGACCUCCCAUGACAUUUAAGCAUUUAUUGUCUGUUCAUUGCUUUAUUUUGUACUGUUAUGCUAUUUUGUAUGCUCAUUUCAUGUAUGAUUCAAGUAUGCUUGUCAUAAACCACUCAAAAUAGGAGUAAGGUCCUUGAUGACAGGGGCUAUGUCUAGGCCAGUGCCUAGUACACAGCUUGAGAUUCACUGAGUUAGGGAGUAGGAUGGAAAGAAAGUCCAAGAAAGAACACUGAGAAGUGAAAGAGGUAGGAGAAAAAGCAGCAAAAUGAAGUGUCAGAGAAUUCUAGCCAGGGGAGUUUAGGACGAGCAGACAACAGGUUGUAGGUUGCAGGACAAUUUGGAGAAUUUUGGGGCAUUCCAUGCACAGGAUCAGAAGAGUAGUGAGGUUGCAAACUGGCUAGGUAUGCAUCAGUGCCAAGGAGAGCAAGACCACUUCUCCCUUGAUCUAGACCUUCAGGCUUUAAUGGACAUUAGAUUCCAGAACCCUGGACCUCACCUGGAGAGAUUCUUUUUCCGUAGGUUUGACUGGAACCCUGCAUUUUAGCCAGCAGCACAGGUGACUGUGAUGUUGGUGGGACCCCCUACUAAUAAAGCAGCCCAAGGGUGUCUUAGUAGUUUAGCAGCCCCAUCACACUCUGUGGUCAACUAAAGUCCCCAAGCCACAAAGUCAGAGAGCUAGCAGAGCCCUUAGAGAUGAUCUACCAAUGUUACCCACUGGAGGCACUGUUGGCAUCUUGAGUGGGACCAUUCUCCAUUGUAGGGGACUGAUUGAUUGUCCUGUGCAAUGCAAUAUGUGUAGCAUCCUUGGCUCCUACCCUCAGCUGUCCUAGUGACCAACAAAACCACGCCCCAUGCAUUUUCUCAUGCCGCCUAAGGGGCUAGGACCCAUCCCCAUUGAGAACCACUGCCCGUGUAACCUACGCGUUCAUUUUACGGAGAAGGGAAAUGGAUGCCAGAGUAGAGAAGGAAGGUCUCCAAAGUCUCGCAGUGAGCUCUUUCUGAUAUAAUAUCCUCUCAAGUCAGAUCCGUCCAUCCUACAUUUCUGUGAGUGGGUUUGGAAACUUAAGUGCAGGCUGGCUUUCCCAGUUGGAUGGGAAGCUCUAUUAUAAAGGACAGAGACCAUCUGACUAGUACCCUGUUGUCUCUGACAGACUCAAGCACAGCAUCAACUGUACAACAGGCACCUCCCAGAUGCUCGCUGAACUGAAUUGAGUAUCCACAGAACUCUGGGUGGGGCUCCUGGAAGAUGAAUGGGGCCCAGAACCCCGCCAAGCAGUAGGAAGGCAGUGGGCCUUCUUUUGGGAGGGGCUGGGUUGGUUGGACCCUGUCAUGAGGAGGAACAUUAGCUUAUUAGCAUAUUCUUGGUACGUCAGGAAUAUUCAUCUGGACUCUGAGCCCCAGCAGAGUGUACGCGCCACGAGGACAGAGAAUUUUGCCUUUAUUCACUGCUUAUCCUCAGCUACUAGCACAGUACCUGAUAACGUAGGUAGACACUCAGUAAACAUUUAUGGGUGAAGGAAAGGCUUCAUCUAAAGAAAAAAAAAGUUUAUUUACUUCAGGCAAGUGUACAAGAACCAGAUGUUUGCAAAGCUUUUUACCCCUGGAGAAGAGAAACAAGUAAACAUGAUUUAAAUGAAUAUGAAGACCUUGUGUUUUCAGAGAUUUCUUUCCAAAACUCAGAGACUCAUCAUCCAUCAAGACAAAAGGUGCUCUUUUUGAACAUACGGGGCAGUUCCUAACGGGUAGACCUGAUGGCUACUGUUUUCCUUACUAGUACACUGUCCGUUCCUUUGUCCUUUUCAGUUCUGUCAUGAGUGACAUGGAAAGACCACUGAUGGCCCGUGGUGAGGUUCACAGAUGGCAUGGAGCUGGCAGCUGAGUGAGGGCAUUGGCUCCGAGUUACCUGCCCUCAGACAGUGACAUAGACCCAAGAGGAUGCAGUAUAACAGGAACACAACUGGGGCUUCCCAACACCGAUGAACCACACGGGGCUGAUCUGCUUUAAUGGCAGCUGGUGGGGAAAGACCUUCAGGGUUUCAGUUGAUGGCAAAUCUGAGGGACAGGCCAAUAGCAUCCAACAGUGCUGCUCCAAAGGACUCACAUGACCUCAGACCACCUUUCAAAGUCUAGUACCUAGAAAACAGGAGACAUGGUCCAUGCCUGCGUAUGUGUUUACUUUUUAGAUGCCUACCAUUCAAGGCACCCAGACACACCAGAGCCCGUUCAGAAGGUGGGCAGGACAGGGAAGGCUUUUGUAACCUGGCUGUAUGGGGAAUAGUGGAAAGAACUUGAGAUAUCGUUUGGGCAAGAGCAGAGUCUGGGGGAUGUUAUGGAAGCAGGCAAAGAUUUGAAGGGUUGUCGUGUAGGGCAGUGAGCAGCCUGGCUCUCCAUGUCCUCCAAGAACAGAGUCAGGACCAGUGGAUUGAAACACCUGCAAGUCAGAUGAUUGCUUCAACACCAGGGAAAGCUUUCUCUGACCUUGUUUAUCCAGCACUGGGAUGGGCUGGUUCAGUAGGCAGUGAGUUUCCUGUCUCUGGAGGUGUUCAAGUAGUGGCUGAUUGAGCAUUUAUAGGGAAGCCAUAGAGGGGAGUCAAAUAUCUGACGGGAUUGAAUUUGAUGACUUUUACAGUUCCACUCAAUACUGAACACAGGUCUAUGCUUUUUGCAUUUUUAAGGUGAUAGGUGAAUCAGACUCAAUAUAUAUGUACAUUAUUUUUUUUUAUAUCUGUCACUAAGAUGGCACUGAGUUAUCAUUUAGGGCACAAGUUGCCAUUGCUAUUCAAAUGUCCAAAUCUGCUGUUCCAAUUUUAGGAAAUUUUUUGCAGAAUAUAUGCUGCAUGUGCACUAAGGAAGCUGACUGUUAAUGCAGUCCCUCUGCCUGAAAGCCCUGUCCACUCACUGCCUCGCCCUCUGCCCAGCCAGAUAUUUUCAGUUACAUUUGUAGGCCUUCAGGUCAGGCUCGCUCAAGGUUCAUUUCCAGUAAAGUGGGCAGGGAUCAAAUGCAGGUUCCUGAGAUUUGAGCAGCGUUCUCCUCGGAGCAGCAUUCUUGCCUUGUUUGCUGAGGUCAGGGCGGCCUUGCUGGUUGUCUGGGCCUUUGAGAAUUUUUGCUUUUCCUUCAAUAUUUUUACUAUUUACAGUUGCUCACUUGCAUCCUUUUUAUAUGCUCUGUUUUGGUAAGGUAAGACCCACAUGGGAGUCCCUGGCUGGUGCAAAUGGUUAAUGCACUUGGCUGCUAACUGAAAAGUUGGCAGUUUUGAGUCCACCCAGAGGUGCCUUGGAAGAAAGGCCUGGAUAUCUACUUCCAAAAGGUUAGCCACUGAAAAUCCUAUGGAGCACAGUCCUGCUCUAACUCACAUUAGAUUGCCGUAAGUUGGAAUCAACUGGACUGCAACUAGUUUGGUUGGUGGUUAAGGCCUACAUGAUAAAAACUUAAACAAACGCGUAUUCAGUGAGAUGUAAGCCCCCCUCUCCCAGCUGAUCCUAUGUAUCUGGUUCCUUCCUCCAAAGGGAAAUGCUACAACCCCCUUUUUGUGGAUCCCUCCAGAGUGCAUUUGUGCAAACAUAAGCAUGAAUGUAGAUACUUGCAUGGUCUUGGGACUUCCCAUCUGGCUCUGCCUACCAGUUUGUGUGUCCUGUUGUUUGGUGUUCAUUCCUCUGGACUCAACCCCUUCUGCUACCCUGUGCAGGCUUCAUCAUUCUCUACUUCUGACCUGCUUGACCUGGUGCAGACCCUAACUGGAAACGGGAAGUAGAAUGCAUCAUUUACAGAGAGGCAAAGCAUUUACAGUUUCUAUUUCCAUUCUUUAUUUUUCUAGCUCUGCAAAAUUCAAUUAUGCCUGUUCAACUGCUACUGACUCAUUAUAUUCCAUGAGCAAGCCGUUUAUAUUUUUUUCUGACAACAACAUCUUUCUCCUCAGGAUGCUGUGGCAACUCAUGUUUUCAGAUUCUCAGAAAAAGCUAUAAUAAAACCUUUCCAUCCUGAGCAUCUAAAAACUGGAUUGAGACCAAAGCAUAGGGGGGUGUUACAGAAGCAAAACUGUUCACAAACCUGGCAGUGCCACACUGAAGAUUAAAUCCUGUCAAGUGGGAAGUCAUUUAGGGCACAUUUGCAUUCUGGUUUUCCCAACAUGGCCACAUACACAGUUUACCUAAUGCCUCUUUGCCACAGAAGAAAGUAUGUAGGUAGAAAACGGGAGCACAAACAUAUGGGAACCCUUCUAUCCUGGAAGGUGAGAAAUAGCUACAGAACAUUGGAGCUAGACUUGGAAGGCUGAAUGGGAAUUUUUCAGGUAGACAAGAAGGGGGAGGGCAUUCCAAGCAGAAGGGAAAAUAGGAGAAGAGUGCUGAGUGGCAAAAGUGUCCCAGGGCAUCCCGACAAAGGUGGGCAGCCCAGGUUGACUAAGGUGUGGGAAGUCAGGCAGGAAAGAAGGGCUACAAACAGGCUUUGGAAGGCUUACACGCCAUGCUAAGAAUUUUUUUUUUUUCCCUGCAGACUAAUAGGGAGACACUGGAGAUUUUUGACUACGGCAGUGAUGUGGCCAUAUUUUUCUUUCCGACAACUAUUCUGGCAGCAAUGUGGAAAUCGGAUGGGGGAGAGAGACUGGAAUCUGGGAUACCAGUUCCAAGCUGUUGCACGUGUCCCAUGUGAGAAGGAAUGAGGGCGUGGACCAGGGCAGGGACAGUGGGGAUAGAGCUGUCUGACUCGGCAACCAUUUGGAUGGGUGUAUAUAUGUAUGUUUGUUGUUGUUGUUAUGUGCCAUCGAGUCAGUUCCGACUCAUAGCAACCCUAUGCACAACAGAACGAAACACUGCCCGGUCCUGUGCCAUCCUUACAAUCAUUGUUAUCCUUGAACUCAUUGUUGCAGCCACUGUGUCAAUCCACCUCGUUGAGGGUCUUCCUCUUUUCCGAUGACCCUGUACUCUGCCAAGCAUGAUGUGCUUCUCCAGGGACUGAUCCCUCCUAACAACAUGUCCAAAGUAUGUAAGAUGCAGUCUCACCAUCCUUGCUUCUAAGGGGCAUUCUGGCUGUACUUCUAAGACAGAUUUGUUCAUUCUUCUGGCAGUCCAUGGUAUAUUCAAUAUUCUUUGCCAACACCACAAUUCAAAGACGUCAACUCUUCUUUGGUCUUCCUUAUUCAUUGUCCAGCUUUCACAUGCAUAUGAUGCAAUUGAAAAUACCGUGGCUUGGGGUCAGGCACACCUUAGUCUUCAAGGUGACAUUUUUGCUCUUCAACACUUUAAAAAGGUCCUUGGCAGCAGAUUUACCCAAUGUCAAUGCAGAUUUACCCUCCAGCGAUAGGGUGCUCAUUUUGUGUCAGUGCAGCCCACUCCAUCUUCAGGUUGCCGUAGUAGAAGGUUCUUCCUUAGGCUGAACCCAAACCAACUCUUAUCUCCUAUAACUUGGCCCUAGGUUAAACUCCUUGGGAACAGCUAGGCCAAGUCACGUCCCUUGCCAGUGUGAAAGCUCUUCACAUAUUAAACAUAGUGCUGCGUGUAAGCCAUCCAGCCAAUUUACCAGAAACCAGUGGAGGUUGGUCACUGAGGGCUGCAUCACCCUCCAAAACACUCAGACAACUGGGGGCCAUUUUGAGAAUUUGCUCUGCCAGUGAUAUGCUGUAGUCUGCUAGCAGAACUUCUUUACAAGAAAUUUUCCAUUAUCAAUUUGCAUGAAUGGAACAACCUCAGUCGGUGUGUGUGAAUGGUCUUUUAAAAAAUCCAUUUAAACUCAGAUAUAAAUCUUAUUUUCCAGAAAAUGUGUGUACCCGUGAAAUAGCCAAUUUGAAGACAGAAAUUAACAUUUGAGAGAAAGGAUUACAAAAAACUCUCUAAAUGCCCCUUCGAAAAUGGGGCUAGCUCUACGUUCCAGCCCUAUGAAAUAGCUUGUCAUUACAAAUGCAUACCAUACUUCAUAUGAUCCUUGCAGAGUAUGGAUUUUAUUGUCACCAUUUGAGAAAUACUCUGUCAUGUAUAUUUUUGAUAGCCCAUAAAUGUUCAGAAUAACUACUCCAAUGUAGAGACCAGGUCUCUACUCAUAGUCAAGGAAAUAGAGGGCUGUAUCGAGAGGUGGGAGCCCAUUGAUGGGCCCAGUGUGGGGACUUCAGAAAUCUGCCUAAGACGACUUCUCUUGAAAAGCAAGGAAACGAUGCCCUCAACAUUUCAAAAAUGGAAAACUGCAAGCCCCAAAAUGAUGACCCCUUUUGAAAGCCCUCAUUUUGUCUAUCCAGAUAUCCUCACAUAGUAUGUUUGUGAAAGAAAUGGACACCCAAGCAUCCAGCUGUACUGGAUAUCAGAAUUCUCUGGGUGAGCUGACAAAAGCUUUGACAUAUUAGCAGGAUCUGAGCACGCGGCUCCCAGUUCCAGAUCCCGAGCUGCUCACAUCAUCAAGUCAGCGCCUUGGGACUCAGGGCUCUGGAUGUACUGGUGCCAGUUGGGGAGCCAACCUGGGGUCUAACCCAGACUAGCUAAGGGCCUUUGCUCCUGGGAGGAGGUAGGGGAGAGAGUGACUGCUUUUGCUCCCAUUGUUCUGCAUUAGAAACAAAACCCCCGAAGUUGGCUGGGAUCAGCAUUAGCACCGCCCACAGCUGCUGAACUCUGAUGUAACCAGAUGCCAUAACUAUAGCAACGAGGAAAUAUUGGAAUUUUGAGAUUAGCAUGCUACUGAAAUUUACUAAAUAUAGCAUGCUUUGUGGUGCGGUGCAUAUUGUAGGUAUUUCCUUUCUUUUCCAAGGGACAAAGUAAGUCAGGGUUCAGAAGGUGGGUUAAUUUGUUGUAAAUGGUGUCUAGGAUUACUGAGUGGCUGCUGAAGUCACUCCACCCCCUUGAUUAAUAUUGACAAAUGAGUGUUUCGAAAUAAAAUGAGAUAAAUCAGCCUGGAUGGAAAUUGGGCUAUCUUAAAGCCGUCUUCAGUUUGGCUUGGGUGUUGGAAUAUUCAUCAUUGGGAUUUGGUGGAAAGAACCCUGGGCUGGGAAUUAGGAAACCUGGGUUCAAUCCUCUCGUAUUAAAUCAUGAUGUGAUCUUGGCAAAGUCUCUAAAGGGACUGAGUCUCAGAUUUCCUUUUUUUUUUUAUUUUAGUGAUGGGGUUUGAAUUCUUUCAGCUCUACCAUUCUAGGCUUCUGUAAUAUUUAGGGUGGUGUUUCUCCCUGCAGUGACUCCAGAGGAUAUUUAUGGCAUCCUGUGGAAUGAUAAAGGGAGAUCCACACCCCAAGACCCCCAGGUCAGAGUGGCGGGUGUUGUGUACCACUGGAGUUUUCUUACAGGCUUUCUUAUAGGGUUCUCCACUCUACAACCCUGUAAUGGGCCUGUUGGCUUCUGCCUCCCUCAGCCCUCCUAUGUCUGUAGUUGGGCCUAAGUGGCCUCCAGAUGUAGAUAUAGCACUCUACUCCACCCCACCCAGCAUGGGUCUGAGCCCCUUCUUGUCUGUAGCCAGGGAGUUUUAAAGGGUCUACGGCCAUUGAGGCAGUGUGGCUGCAGGUCCUCCUCAGACUCUGUGGCUCAGUCCUAAUAAAUCGAUUCUUGCCACAUUCUGUGACCAAGCCCAUGUCCAGGAACUCAUUGCCUACCCGUUGUUGUUAUUAGGUACCCUUGAGUCGAUUCUGACACAUAGCGACCCUAUGUAUGGCAGAAUGAAACACUGCCCGGUCCUGCACCAUCCUCACAAUCAUUGCUGUGUUUGAGCCCGUUAUUGCAACCACUGUGUCAGUCCAUCUCGUUGAGGGUCCUCUUUUUCACUGACCCUCUACUUGACCAAGGAUGAUGUCCUCCGUCUUCAGGACUGGUCCCUCUUGAUAACAUGUCAAAAGUAUGUGAGACGAAGUCUUGCCAUCCUUUCUUUUAAGGAGCAUUCUGGCUGUACUUCUUCCAAGACAGAUUUGUUCAUCCUUCUGGCAGAGAGCCUCGGUUCCUUCCUUGGCUCCAUACUUGGUGUCCUUGUCCUUUGAGGGGAAACUCUGGUGCAUAGUAGUUAAGACUUACAGCUGUUAACCAAAAGGGCAGCAGUUCGAAUCCACCGGAUACUCCUUGGAAACCUUAUGGGGCAGUUCUAUUCUGUCCUAUAGGGCUACUAUGAGUUGGAAUCAACUCGAUGGCAAUGGACUUGGUUUUUUUGGUUUUGAUCCUUUGAGGACUGGACUUCUGUUGAUCUUCUCAGUCUUCUUGGGGUCUGGGGCUUGGCCACUGCCAGGACUAUCUGAAAUUGCCCAUCUUCUUGUCUGCUGAAAUCUCUGUCUAUAGCUUGUGUCUGAGCCUCCAUGAUGCCUCAUAGCCCCCUUGUUGCUUACUGCUGGCCUUCUUUGAAGCUACUGCCUGCCUUACCUAGACUUCUUCCUACCGCUGGUUACCAGAAUCUCUAAAAGUAUGCUCCAUUUGCUUUGUGGGGACAUUGCCCUGUCACUUCUGAUCCUUCCUGAUACCAUUUGCCUCUACUUCUCACCACUCAUUGCACACCUCCCCCUCAAAGCCAUCAUGAGUCUGCCUGGUCUCUGGGUCCUGGAUCUCUCAAGCCUGCUCCGUGGAAACCCCAAUCAAGUUCCAUUUAUGGCCUACAAAGACUACAUGGGCAUCCUUAAGCCAGGUUGCCCUAUCUUGGCCCAGCCGUAUGGGGCCGGCCCUCAGUAUGGAAGCUACUGUUUCUAGACUCUUAUCCACUAUGUACCAGUUUAGAAAUAGCCAUGGGAAACUAUGGAGUCAGUGACUGUGUAGGCUAAGUUCAUGUUAAAAUUCUGAGAUAGACGACGUGGGAGAAUUUUUGUGUCUCUGUAGUCUAUAGGAAGAAGUCCAAGCUACACUGAGGGCAUUGGUGAAAAAAAAAGGCUCAGGGAAUUGACAGAAUAUCAGUUGAGAUGUUUCAACAAAUGGAUGCAGCACUGGAGGUGCUCACUUGUCUAUGCCAAGAAAUAUGGAAGACAGCUUCCUGGCUAAUUGACUGGAGGAGAUCCAUAUUUAUGCCUAUUCCCAAGAAAGGUGAUCCAACCAAAUUCCGAAAUUAUAGAACAAUAUCAUUAAUACCACACGCAACGAAAAUUUUGCUGAAGAUCAUUCAAAAGCAGCUGCAGCUGUGUAUCAACAGGGAACUGCCAGAAAUUCAGGCUGGAUUCAGAAGAGGAUGUGGAACCAGGGAUAUCACUGCUGAUGUGAGAUGAAUCCUGGCUAAAAGCAGAGAAUACCAGAAGGAUGUUUACCUGUGUUUUAUUGACUAUGCAGAGGCAUUCGACUGUGUGGAUCAUCACAAAUUAUGGACAACAUUGCAAUGAAUGGGAAUUCCAGAACACUUAAUUGUGUUCAUGAGGAACCUGUACACAGAUCAAGAGGCAGUUGUUCGGACAGAACAAGGGGAUACUAAGUGGUUUAAAGUCAGGAAAGGUGUACAUCAGGGUUGUAUUCUUUCACCAUACCUAUUCAGUCUGUAUGCUGAGCAAAUAGUCCGAGAAGCUGGACUAUAUGAAGAAGAACGUGGCAUUAGGAUUGGAGGAAGACUCGUUAACAACCUGCAUUAUGCAGAUGACACAACCUUGCUUGCUGAAAGUGAAGAGAACUUGAAGCACUUAGUGAUGAAGAUCAAAGACCGUAGCCUUAAGUAUUGAUUACACCUCAACAUAAAGAAAACAAAAAUCCUCACAACUGGGCUGAUAAGCAACAUCAUGAUAAACAGAGAAAAGAUUGAAGUUGUCAAGGAUUUCGUUUUACUUGGAUCCACAAUCAACACCCAUGAAAGCAGCAGUCAAGAAAUCAAAAGACCCAUUGCAUUGGGCAGAUCUGCUGCAAAGAACCUCUUCAAGGUGUUGAAAAGCAAAGAUGUCACCUUGAAGACUAAGGUGCGCCUGACCCAGGCCAUGGUAUUUUCAGUCGCAUCAUAUGCAUGUAAAAGCUGGAGAAUGAAUAAGGAAGACUGAAGAAGGAUUGAUGCCUUUGAAUUGUGGUGUUGGAGGAGAAUAUUGAAUAUCCCAUGGACUGCCAAAAGAACGAACAAAUCUGUCUUGGAAGAAGUACAACCAGAAUGCUUCUUAGAAGCAAGGAUGGUGAGACUGCAUCUUACAUACUUUGGACAUGUUGUCGGGAGGGAUCAGUCCCUGGAGAAGGAUAUCAUGCUCGGUGAAGUACAGGACCAGCAGAAAAGAGGAAGACCCUCAACCAAGUGGAUUGACACAGUGGCUGCAACAAUGGGCUCAAGCAUAACAAUGAUUGUAAGGAUGGCACAGAACUGGACAGUGUUUUGUUCUGUUGUGCAUAGGGUCACUAUGAGUAGGAACUGACUUGACGGCACCUAACAACAACAACACAUAGCCUAAAGUAGGGAGAGUGAUGCUGUUGGGUUUUUUGAGCCAAUAAGGGAUGAUUAGGUGAAAGGGGUGAGAAAUGUCUCUGUGAUCUUUUUGGAAGCAAAGUUGCAUGUAAAUCCAAGAUGGAAUUAUUAUUGCUAUUAGUCUUCAGCCCAGCAGCAUUCAACUUCUUGCAGAGGUGCUCUGGCUUGAUGAAAUAACCUAGAGUCCCAGUGCCAAAGCAGGGGCAUGCAUAUUGGCUAGCUGUGUGCUCUUGUGCUGAGGACUUGCUCUUUCCAAACCUCAGUUUCCUCAAGUGUCAAGUGAGGCAUUGUGGAGAUAUCUUUCCUGGUCUAUUCACUCUCAGGGUGAUGCCAAGGAUACCAGUUAGUGGAUAGUGAAUGUGAAAGUGUUUGGGGAAUGCUAUCUACCACAUCAUACAGGUUAUCCAGUCUUCCUUCCCAGAAGGGUGGGGGACACAGAUGUGGCACCUCUUGCCCAGGGUUGGUGAACAGUGUAGAUUGAGAUCAGUGUCUUGAGGGAAUAGCGGGUCAGGAUUAAGGCAGGCGACCUGACAUGGAACUAGAUAAGGCUAGGGAGACAGUACACGAAGCCAAGUGCUUUGGGAGCCAGCAGAGCUGAUGCCUGCGGAAGUUUGAAGGAGAGGAAUUUCCUGAGUGGAGAGGAAUUUCCUGUGCUAGAGUACAGGGGCUAAUGGAUUCUUUUUAUUUGGUGCCUGCUGUUGUUGGUAUAAUAGCUUCUACACAAGCUGUUCUUGGAAGCAGUUAACCAGGUCGAAGAAGAGCAGACCAAAGGUGAGGGGCUAUUCUCAUAAGAUCUGGCAGAAGUUAGGGACCAGGCCCGUAUCAGCUAGUCCAAGGUAAACCCAAUUCAAAGAAGAAUAGUAAGUGGCCUAGGUGAGCAGCAAAGGCAGGCACAUUUGGAUACUCUCUUGUUAUCUAGUGCUGCUAUAACAGAAAUAACACAAGUGGAUGGCUUUAACAAAGAGAAAUGUAUUCUCUCACAGUCUAGGAGGAGAGAAGUCCUAAUUCAGGGUGCCAGCUCCAGGGGAAGGCUCUCUUUCGGUCGGCUCUGUGGGGAGGUCCUUACCAUCAAUCAUCCCUUGGUCUAGGAGCUUCUCAGCGCAGGGACCCUGGGUCCAAAGGAUGUGCUCUUCUCCUGGUUCUGCUUUCUUGGUGGUAGGAUGUCCCUCUGUCUCUCUGCUCGAUUCUCUUUUAUAUCUCAGACGCGAUUGACUCAAGAUACAAGCUAAUCUUGUAGAUUGAGUCGUGCCUCAUUAACAUAACUGCCUCUAACCCUGCUUCGUUAACAUCAUAGAGGUAAGAUUUCUAGCACAUAGGCAAAUCCCAUCAGAUGACAGAAUGGUGGAACAAUCACACAAUACUGUGAAUUAAGGCCUAGCCAAGUUGGCACACAUUUUUGGGGGACACAAUCCAAUCCAUAACAGGUCCGUGAAGACGGCAAUGUGGCACUGGGCAGAGACAAUUGCAGGAUCAUGGGGGCCUUGAGUGAAGUGUUGUGAGGAAUUCUUUUACCAAAGCGGUCAGACAAUCACAAGGUAUUAGUUGAGCCUCUACUGUUUCUCCUAAUUGAGUGUCUAUUGUGCCAGACACAUUGGUUGGCACAACGUCUAUUGACUCAGAUCCCUGAGAUGUCAAUUUAGAGCUUGUGUGGAAGACCCUCACCUUCAUGUUGGGGAAUGUUCACUGCCUUGAGGAGAGCACUGAAGGGCGGGCAUCCUCCAGAAGGGGGUGAGGGUCCAACUAGGGAGGGCCUCUAUCCCUGUUGCUCUUUGGGAGAGGAGGACUCCUGAGUGUUCUCUGCUUCAGACUUACUGGAGACAAGGCCAUCGAAUGUUAGUGCUCAUUUGGGGGACCCUUCACUGUACAAAUGGGGAGAGUGAGCCUGAGGGAGGAGAAAGCACUUCCCCAGGCCACACAGCAAGCUGGUGACACAGCCAGGCCUAGCACUCAGAUCUCCUGACAAUAGCUGUGGAAGAGAAGAAAGGAGAAGAGAAGGCAUAAAGGUUGUUUGGUGAAGAGAAGAUGUCUGAAUUCCUCUUGCAUGUUGUUUAUGGGCCAUUUGAUGAGUUGUCGGCCCAAAGUCAGGAAGCAUCCUCUCUCUCUCUUUUUUACAUCUAGAUAGAAAAAAAAAAAUAGAAAGGAGAGAAAAAUAAGAGUCUAGAAAAUAAAGAAAAAUGAAAUAGAAAACAUUAUUUAUAAGAGCCCCUUACCGCUGAAUCACAAAAUUGAAAAUGAUUGGUAUAAAUGGCUUUCAUUGAAUAAGGGCAAAGUAGCUCUCGUAUGGACUUUUCUAUUGGCAAGAAAGGCACUGUGCUUGGUCCAAGCACUUUGGCCAAAGAGCAUUUGCCCUUGUUAAAACAAAGGUGUGCUUGGCUUGCUGUAGGACCAGAUUUCCUUAUUUCUCCCCCGUAUUUGCUCUGGAACGUGGCCAUCUCCCCUGAGUGUGCUAAUUGGAUUGAUCUCUAAGACAAUGGCAUAUAUGUUCAUUUGUUUUAACUUGACUCUGAUACCUUCAUCCAUUAAACUUUAAAUAAAGUUGUAAUUAUUUUUAUAAGUAUAAAUUACAAAGUGUGCUGGCAAUUCAUAAUUACUUUGCAAUGCAUCAGGAUGAGCCAGUAAAGGUGGUCCUCUUUUCUUUUCCCCUUUGCGUUCUGUAUUGCUGCCUUGUGUCUGUGUUUCUCAUUUAGGACUUGUUAGUGUAAAUCUCCCUCAUACAUCAUUGGAAGUGUUAGGAUUUCUAGGGGAGGAAUGUCAUCUGCCUUGGGCUCUCUAAGAGAGAGUGGAUGAUGUCGGGUUUUCUACCUCUCAUGGCUACUGUCCUUAGUGGAAAGGCAUUUCUCUAAUAAGCUAUCAUAUUUGGAAAAGCAGGGUUCUGCCAGCGCUGUAUAUUAUACCAAUGUGGGGCAUUUUCCUGCACUUUCUGUGGCAUCCCCAGGCUCCUCCCCAGGCUCAGCCUCGUGGCAAUGCAUCUUUCGUGGCCAGGUGGAGGCAGUUAACCUCUGCUCUGCUCCUUUCCUUUGGAGCCCAGCACGUAAAGAGCCUUUUCUUUAUACUCUCUCAGAGAUCUGCAAACAGAAUUUGCAAAGCACAUUGGAACCUUUGACAGCAGGAGCUGCUGGGGUGGGAAAGAUCCUCGUCAGCUUUUUCCUUUGGUGGCUUACUUUCUAUUUCUUCUCUUUGGCACGAAUGACAACUGCUCCAGGUUGUUUCCAAGAUCUCUCUAUUCUCCCCUUUUAUGUCUUUUCAACUCUUCCUUCUCUCUUCCCAUAUAUCAACGGAUGGGGCAAUUGAAUGAUCUUCUUCCAUUCAAUCAUGCAUUUCCUGAGUCCUAUUUUGUUCCAGGAGCCCUGGUGGUACAGUGCUUAAGAGCUUGGCUGCCAAGCAAAAGAUUGACAGUUCAAAUCAGCCAGCUGCUCCUUAGAAACCCUAUGGGGCAGUUCUACUCUCUCCUAUAGGGUCAUUAUGAGUCGGAAAUGACUUGAUAGCAAUGGGUUUUUUUUUUGUUUUGUUUUUUUACUUUGUGCCAAGCGCUGUGCUACGUAUUGAAUUUUCAGAGGGUUUUUUUUCUUUUUUUGUGUGGUAUUCCUCUUUAAAUUAUAAAAGUAAUGUAUAUUCAUGGUAAAAAUGUGAACAGCACAAAAGGAUAUAAAAUGAGAAGAAAACUCCUCCCGCUUCAAGACCCCACUCUCAUUCCUUAGGCACAGCCAUGAGUAACAAUUUUUUUGUGUAUCCUUCUAGAAACUUUCUAUACAUUAUAUAUCUGUGUGUACAGACUUCUAUGUACACACAUGCACAUAUGUGCCCUGUUUUGUUUUUUUUAUUGUGCUUUAAGUGAAAGUUUACAAAUCAAGUCAGUCUCUCAUGUAAAAACUUAUAUACACCUUGCUACAUACUCCCAAUUACUCUCGCCCUAAUGAAACAGCCCACUCUCUCCCUCUGCUCUCUCUUUUCGUGUCCAUUUCGCCAGCUUCUAACCCCCUCCAUCCUCUCAUCUCCCCUCCAGGCAGGAGAUGCCAACAUAGCCUCAAAUGUCCACCUGAUCCAAGAAGCUCACUCCUCACCAGCAAACUCUCCUUCCCAUUGUCCAGUCCAAUCCCUGUCUGAAGAGUUGGCUUCAGGAAUGGUUCCUGUCCUGGGCCAGCAGAAGGCCUGGGGACCAUGACCACCGGGGUCCUUCCAGUCUCAGUCAGACCAUUAAGUCUGAUCUUUUUAUGAGAAUUUGGGGUCUGCAUCUCACUGCUCUUCUGCUCCCUCAGGGGUUCUCUGUUGUGCUCCCUGUCAGGGCAGUCAUCGGUUGUAGCUGGGCACCAUCUAGUUCUUCUGGUCUCAGGAUGAUGUAGUCUCUGGUUCAUGUGGCCCUUUCUGUCUCUUGGGCUCGUAAUUAU